rfam:Streptomyces avermitilis MA-4680 = NBRC 14893 DNA, complete genome.
UUUGAGGGAUCCCAGCCACAAGGGGCGGUGGUGGGGGCGGUGUUGUCCGUAGGCGGCCAGGAGUGCCUGGGCCUC